rnacentral:piRNA from 1 species
UGGAAUGGUUUCUUUUAUAAGAGUUGC